GAUGAACGCUAGCGAUAGGCUUAACACAUGCAAGUCGAGGGGUAACAUGGGAGUAGCUUGCUACUUCUGAUGACGACCGGCGGAUGGGUGAGUAACGCGUAUGCAACUUGCCUCUUAGUGGGGAAUAACCCGGAGAAAUCCGGACUAAUACCGCAUACACUUAGUUAUCCGCAUGGAUGAUUAAGGAAAGAUUUAUUGCUAAGAGAUAGGCAUGCGUUCCAUUAGUUAGUUGGUGAGGUAACGGCUCACCAAGGCAUCGAUGGAUAGGGGAGCUGAGAGGCUUAUCGGCCACAUUGGGACUGAGACACGGCCCAA
rnacentral:rRNA from 1 species